rnacentral:tRNA from 1 species
GCGGUCAUGGCGGAACUGGUAGACGCGCUAGCUUGAGGUGCUAGUCCUUUAACCGGGGUGGAGGUUCGAGUCCUCUUGACCGCACCA